CCGGCCUUAGCUCAGGUGGUAGAGCAUGUGACUGUAAAUCACGAGGUCGCUGGUUCAAAUCCGGCAGGCCGGA